GCCAAACAGUUGAAAGAUGUUGAAGGGAAAAAUACACAUGUACAGUAGUUGCUCAACAGGAACGACACAUUACUUCGUGAUCAACUGAACUGGUCAGUCUUUUUGUUGCUGGUGUCCUCGAAUGACCAAGUGUAGUGCUGCACCAGGCAUCUCAUCUGGCAGGCAGUUUUCUUAUUGUCUGGAGCUUCCUGUGAUUAAAUACCCACAUACAUGAGUUAUGUACCCCACACUUUCCUCUGAAUUUACAGGAGGCAGGGUGCCUCUCUGGCCCCCAAUGUUUCAGAUGUUGUUCUGCUAAUUAAGAAAGUUCAUGUGAUUACUCACUGGUGUGCUCAGGCUGGAACCUAAAGCAGUGGGGAUUGAAGCUGGGGGAUUUCCUGGAUGAUUGGUGUGACAAACAGCAGACUGGGCUCUUAGUUUAGUCAGUAUUUUGGAGUGAUUUGUUAAUUAAGAAACUUGUCCAAGCACCAUACAUUAUAGUACAUUUUUAAGGAUUUUUUUUUUAAUUACUCUUUAGAUUCUCUAAUACAGAGCAUUAUAUUAUAACGUGUGGUAUGUUUAGUCUUUUGACUCAUUUCUUUGGUCUCUACAUAUAUUCUUUUAUUUGCCCAAGCAAGAAUGUUAAAUAUUGGAUUGCUUAACUUAAUGUACAGUGGUAAUAUCCCAACAAAAAAAUGGAAACCAUGGGUUGAUUCAGUGCAACCGAAAUCUUUAAUUUCUACAUCAGUUGGAUUUUUGGAUUAUUAUUUCAAAUUUUAUGCUGCAGCCUUAAGGCAAAAUUGUUUCAGUUACUUUUUUUCUCUUCAAUCUACACUCAAUACUCCAUGAUACCAAAGCAAAAACAACAUAGACUUUUUUUGCAAAUUUAUUUAAGGUAACAAACUGAAACAUCUCAUGGACUUAAGUAUUCAGACCAUUUACCAGUAUUUAGUUGAGGCAGCGAUUACAGUCUUGUGUCUUGGGUAUGACAUGACAAGCUUUGCACACCUAGAUUUCGGGAGUUUUGGCCAUUCUUCUCUGCAGAUCCUCUCAGGCUCCGUCAUUUUGAAUAGGGUCUGUCAUUGGACAGUAGGGGUGUAAUGGUGCAGUUUUCCCAUGGUUCAGUAUGUGUCACAGUUUUUGAACCAAGGUAAAGGUACGAUUUUGUUAUCUUUAUAUUUAAGAAAAUAAAAACAGAUCACCUUUUAAUUAAACUAUGAACUCUUUAUUUUUCCAUAUAACAGCCCUCCAUUCAGAAUAAUGGCAGCAUGACUAACUAGGCCUAGUUUAUGUCUUUGCUAUAGGAAAUCAAGGAGAGAAAAACAUUCAAAUUAAAAGUGCUUCUUAACUUUGACAACUUGUUUGUGUGUUGUCUAUGCUAUUUUAAAUUAACAGUGUACCUAGUAUGUACAGUACAUGUACAGGCAAUAUUAAAUUAAUUUUUUGGAAGAAAAGAUUUGGUAUUUCAAUAGUCAUCUUUAUAAAGACAAAAAAUAUUUAU